UAAAAAAAUGUGAAUAACCUGAACAAAUAUGAUCAACCUGAAAAGUCAUAAGAAAAUUAAGUGUAGUUGUACCAAUACUCCCCCUGUUAUAAAUGUUUUGUGUAUUUGUAAGAUCCACUGUGAUCUGUAGGUUAU